rnacentral:rRNA from 1 species
GACGAACGCUGGCGGCGUGCCUAAUACAUGCAAGUCGAACGCACUCUCGUUUAGAUUGAAGGAGCUUGCUCCUGAUUGAUAAACAUUUGAGUGAGUGGCGGACGGGUGAGUAACACGUGGGUAACCUGCCCUAAAGUGGGGGAUAACAUUUGGAAACAGAUGCUAAUACCGCAUAAAACCUAACACCGCAUGGUGUAGGGUUGAAAGAUGGUUUCGGCUACCACUUUAGGAUGGACCCGCGGUGCAUUAGUUAGUUGGUGAGGUAGAGGCUCACCAAGACCGUGAUGCAUAGCCGACCUGAGAGGGUAAUCGGCCACACUGGGACUGAGACACGGCCCAGACUCCUACGGGAGGCAGCAGUA